rnacentral:misc_RNA from 1 species
AAGUCGUAACAAGGUUUCCGUAGGUGAACCUGCGGAAGGAUCAUUAACACGUGAAAACGUAUUAACCAAUCUACCUUAUACAACCUGAGAAUUUCACCCCUCCCUAUUCAAUUAAUGCUGUUCCAUAUGAUAUGUAGUAGGAUAUGACUUCGGUCAUAUGCAAUUGUAUGGAUACUAAGGUUUCGAACCUAAGGUGUUUUUUGUUAGGCUUUUAUUUUUUUCCCCUACUACGAAAAAACUAAACCAACCUAUUUCACCUAUUAAACCCUAUUUUGACUGAUGUACGUUGAUAGUAGAGAAAUCUACUGGAUCAACACCAUUUAUCUAAACUAAGCACAACUCUUAGCAAUGGAUAUCUUGGUUCUC